GAGGGUAUAGCUCAGUGGUAGAGUGCAUGCUUGGCAUGCACGAGGUCCUGGGUUCAAUCCCCAAUACCUCCA
rnacentral:tRNA from 1 species